GCUGGGCGCUGUGGUGCAUGCCUGCAAUCCCAGUGGCUUGGGAGGCUGAGGCAGGAGGAUCAUGAGUUCAAAGCCAGCCUUAGCAAUGGAGAGUCACUAAGCAACUCAGUGAGAACCUGUUUCUA
rnacentral:sRNA from 1 species